UGGGGAAUAUUGCGCAAUGGGGGAAACCCUGACGCAGCGACGCCGCGUGAGCGAAGAAGGCCUUAGGGUUGUAAAGCUCUGUUUUAAGGGACGAAUGUUAUGGGGAGAAAUAUGCCCUGUAAAUGACGGUACCUUAAGAGGAAGCCCCGGCUAACUACGUGCCAGCAGCCGCGGUAAGACGUAGGGGGCGAGCGUUGUCCGGAAUUACUGGGCGUAAAGAGCACGUAGGCGGGAACUUAAGUCAGGUGUGAAAGACCGUGGCUCAACCACGGGUGUGCACUUGAAACUGGGUUUCUUGAGGGCAGGAGAGGAAAGCAGAAUUCCUGGUGUAGCGGUGAAAUGCGUAGAAAUCAGGAGGAAUACCAGUGGCGAAGGCGGCUUUCUGGACUGACCCUGACGCUGAGGUGCGAAAGCGUGGGUAGCAAACAGG
rnacentral:rRNA from 1 species